UACGUAGGGUGCGAGCGUUAAUCGGAAUUACUGGGCGUAAAGGGUGCGUAGGUGGCGCUGUAAGUCGGGUGUGAAAUUUCGGAGCUUAACUCCGAAACUGCAUUCGAUACUGCGGUGCUUGAGGACUGGAGAGGAGACUGGAAUUCAUGGUGUAGCAGUGAAAUGCGUAGAGAUCAUGAGGAAGACCAGUGGCGAAGGCGGGUUGCUGGGCUGACACUGACGCUGAUGCGCGAAAGCUAGGGGAGCGAACGGG
rnacentral:rRNA from 1 species